GAUGAACGCUGGCGGCGUGCCUAAUACAUGCAAGUCGAGCGAAGCGGGGACGGGUGAGUCACACGUGGAUAACCUCCUAUAAGACUGGGUUAACUUCGGGAAACCGGAGCUAAACCGGCUACUGUUAGCUGGAUCCGCGCUGCUUUAGCUAGUGGGUAGGGUAACGGCUUACCAAGGCAACGAUGCAUAGCCGACCGGAGAGAGGUGUCGGCCAAACGGGAACGUGGACACGGUCCGGACGCCUACGGGAGGCAGCAGUAGGGAGUCUUCCGCGAUGGGCGAAAGCCUGACGGAGCAACGCCGCGUGAGUGAUUAAGGUCUUCGGAUCGUAAAACUCUGUUAGUAGGGAAGCGGUACCUAAUCAGAAAGCCACGGCUAACUACGUGCCAGCAGCCGCGGUAAUUC
rnacentral:rRNA from 1 species